rnacentral:rRNA from 1 species
AGGGUAGCUGAAGGUACUAUACGAAUAAGCACCGGCUAACUCCGUGCCAGCAGCCGCGGUAAUACGGACGGUGCAAGCGUUAUCCGGAUUAUUGGGUUUAAAGGGUCCGUAGGCGGAUCUGUAAGUCAGUGGUGAAAUCUCACAGCUUAACUGUGAACCUGCCAUUGAUACUGCAGGUCUUGAGUGUUGUUGAAGUAGCUGGAAUAAGUAGUGUAGCGGUGAAAUGCAUAGAUAUUACUUAGAACACCAAUUGCGAAGGCAGGUUACUAAGCAACAACUGACGCUGAUGGACGAAAGCGUGGGGAGCGAACAGGAUUAGAUACCCUGGUAGUCCACGCCGUAAACGAUGCUAACUCGUUUUUGGGUUUUCGGAUUCAGAGACUAAGCGAAAGUGAUAAGUUAGCCACCUGGGGAGUACGAACGCAAGUUUGAAACUCAAAGGAAUUGACGGGGGCCCGCACAAGCGGUGGAUUAUGUGGUUUAAUUCGAUGAUACGCGAGGAACCUUACCAAGGCUUAAAUGGGAAAUGACAUGCUUAGAAAUAGGCUUUUCUUCGGACAUUUUUCAAGGUGCUGCAUGGUUGUCGUCAGCUCGUGCCGUGAGGUGUUAGGUUAAGUCCUGCAACGAGCGCAACCCCUGUCACUAGUUGCCAUCAUUAAGUUGGGGACUCUAGUGAGCCUGCCUACGCAAGUAGAGAGGAAGGUGGGGAUGACGUCAAAUCAUCACGGCCCUUACGCCUUGGGCCACACACGUAAUACAAUGGCCGGUACAGAGGGCAGCUACACAGCGAAGUGAUGCAAAUCUCGAAAGCCGGUCUCAGUUCGGAUUGGAGUCUGCAACUCGACUCUAUGAAGCUGGAAUCGCUAGUAAUCGCGCAUCAGCCAUGGCGCGGUGAAUACGUUCCCGGGCCUUGUACACACCGCCCGUCAAGCCAUGGAAGUCUGGGGUACCUGAAGUCGGUGACCGUAACAGGAGCUGCCUAGGGUAAAGCAAGUAUGGU